ACGAACGCUGGCGGCAUGCCUAACACAUGCAAGUCGAACGAGACCUUCGGGUCUAGUGGCGCACGGGUGCGUAACGCGUGGGAACCUGCCCUUAGGUUCGGAAUAACUCCCCGAAAGGGGUGCUAAUACCGGAUAAUGUCUUCGGACCAAAGAUUUAUCGCCUUUGGAUGGGCCCGCGUUGGAUUAGCCAGUUGGUAGGGUAAAAGCCUACCAAGGCGACGAUCCAUAGCUGGUCUGAGAGGAUGAUCAGCCACACUGGGACUGAGACACGGCCCAGACUCCUACGGGAGGCAGCAGUGGGGAAUAUUGGACAAUGGGCGAAAGCCUGAUCCAGCAAUGCCGCGUGAGUGAUGAAGGCCUUAGGGUUGUAAAGCUCUUUUACCCGGGAUGAUAAUGACAGUACCGGGAGAAUAAGCUCCGGCUAACUCCGU
rnacentral:rRNA from 1 species